GCCGAGAUCCCCUCGGAUCCCUGCACAGGGUACCGCUUCUUUAAGCCGGGGGGUUUGUUCGGGAUGAAGCCGCCGGAGGAGCCGUUCGGAGCCGCGCGGACGGGCCCGGAGGAGUCCAAGGCCCUGGGCAGCCCCUGCGCUGUGGAGCCCGGGCGGGUGAGCAAGGUGGAACCCGAGGAGAAGCCCGGGAUUGGCGCCGGCUCCCUGGAGCUGUUUCCGGCCGCGGGCGGCAGCUCCGGCCGCUGGUUCCCCGGCGGGCAGCGCGGCCC